rnacentral:lncRNA from 1 species
AGAACUCAAAAUCAAUGUGUUAUGCAUCUCUCACUUCCUAUAACAAAUGGCUUCGAAAGAAUGGUAGAGACCUUCGCCCCCUCCGCGCCUCCGUUCCAUGGCCUCGAGGGCCGCCCCUCGCCCUUCCCGCCGAAGAUGAUCUCUUCUCCUGCGAAGGUACACAACCCGAUUGUCGCGAUUACGAAAACGGGAUUCCGUAAUAAGGGGGAAAAAGUAGAACUAGAAGAAGCAAUUCUACUUUUGGAAGAUCAUACCUUGAAAGGAAGGAAACCAAAUGAUCAGAACUGGUACUACAAUGAGCUCAUCUCCCUCUGUAUAUCCCGAAAGGCUUUUCAUGAAGGGCGGCUCCUUCGGUCGCACAUGGCCCGCGUCGGGCUCGAGCCGGGCCUCUUCAUGGAUAAC